GUCGUUAGAUAAAAAGCGCUCUGAAAUGUUUUAUUUUGUACAUGUCUUUCCUAGGCUCGGCAUUUUCUAUGAAUGCGAUGAAUCUCCAGUUGUGAACCGGUGCCGAACCACGAUUUUUUAAAGGAAAAAAAUAAGCAAUGUUAGGAGAACAUGCAAAAAUGUUAAUGCAUUAACCGUAUUAAUCCUUCAAGGGGUCGUGCUUCUACAAUACAUGUUCCUCCCCCUAAAUCCGCAUCUGUUGAAUUAAAACUGAUUUUAAUGCUACAUAUUAUUGUAAGUAUUAUGCUAUUAAUUCUG
rnacentral:lncRNA from 1 species